UACGGGGGGAGCAAGCGUUGUUCGGAUUUACUGGGCGUAAAGCGCGUGUAGGCGGCUUUGCAAGUCGGAUGUGAAAUCCCACGGCUCAACCGUGGAAGUGCAUCCGAAACUGCAUCGCUGGAGUCUCGGAGAGGAAGGUGGAAUGCUUGGUGUAGAGGUGAAAUUCGUAGAUAUCAAGCAGAACACCUGCGGCGAAGGCGGCCUUCUGGACGAUGACUGACGCUGAGACGCGAAAGCGUGGGGAGCAAACAGG
rnacentral:rRNA from 1 species